AGAAUUGAAGGUCGAGGCGACGGU
rnacentral:siRNA from 1 species